UACGUAGGGUGCAAGCGUUAUCCGGAAUUAUUGGGCGUAAAGAGCUCGUAGGCGGUUUGUCGCGUCUGCUGUGAAAAUCCGGGGCUCAACCCCGGACUUGCAGUGGGUACGGGCAGACUAGAGUGUGGUAGGGGAGACUGGAAUUCCUGGUGUAGCGGUGGAAUGCGCAGAUAUCAGGAGGAACACCGAUGGCGAAGGCAGAUCUCUGGGCC
rnacentral:rRNA from 1 species